rnacentral:rRNA from 1 species
CUUAUGCGUUGUUGGGUAGGGGAGCGUUCUGUAAGCCUGCGAAGGUGGCCUGUGAGGGUUGCUGGAGGUAUCAGAAGUGCGAAUGCUGACAUAAGUAACGAUAAAGCGGGUGAAAAGCCCGCUCGCCGGAAGACCAAGGGUUCCUGUCCAACGUUAAUCGGGGCAGGGUGAGUCGACCCCUAAGGCGAGGCCGAAAGGCGUAGUCGAUGGGAAACGGGUUAAUAUUCCCGUACUUGGUGUUACUGCGAAGGGGGGACGGAGAAGGCUAUGUUGGCCGGGCGACGGUUGUCCCGGUUUAAGCGUGUAGGCUGGUUUUCCAGGCAAAUCCGGAAAAUCAAGGCUGAGGCGUGAUGACGAGGCACUACGGUGCUGAAGCAACAAAUGCCCUGCUUCCAGGAAAAGCCUCUAAGCAUCAGGUAACAUCAAAUCGUACCCCAAACCGACACAGGUGGUCAGGUAGAGAAUACCAAGGCGCUUGAGAGAACUCGGGUGAAGGAACUAGGCAAAAUGGUGCCGUAACUUCGGGAGAAGGCACGCUGACACGUAGGUGAAGUGAUUUACUCAUGGAGCUGAAGUCAGUCGAAGAUACCAGCUGGCUGCAACUGUUUAUUAAAAACACAGCACUGUGCAAACACGAAAGUGGACGUAUACGGUGUGACGCCUGCCCGGUGCCGGAAGGUUAAUUGAUGGGGUCAGCGCAAGCGAAGCUCCUGAUCGAAGCCCCGGUAAACGGCGGCCGUAACUAUAACGGUCCUAAGGUAGCGAAAUUCCUUGUCGGGUAAGUUCCGACCUGCACGAAUGGCGUAAUGAUGGCCAGGCUGUCUCCACCCGAGACUCAGUGAAAUUGAACUCGCUGUGAAGAUGCAGUGUACCCGCGGCAAGACGGAAAGACCCCGUGAACCUUUACUAUAGCUUGACACUGAACAUUGAGCCUUGAUGUGUAGGAUAGGUGGGAGGCUUUGAAGUGUGGACGCCAGUCUGCAUGGAGCCGACCUUGAAAUACCACCCUUUAAUGUUUGAUGUUCUAACGUGGACCCGUUACCCGGGUUGCGGACAGUGUCUGGUGGGUAGUUUGACUGGGGCGGUCUCCUCCUAAAGAGUAACGGAGGAGCACGAAGGUUGGCUAAUCCUGGUCGGACAUCAGGAGGUUAGUGCAAUGGCAUAAGCCAGCUUGACUGCGAGCGUGACGGCGCGAGCAGGUGCGAAAGCAGGUCAUAGUGAUCCGGUGGUUCUGAAUGGAAGGGCCAUCGCUCAACGGAUAAAAGGUACUCCGGGGAUAACAGGCUGAUACCGCCCAAGAGUUCAUAUCGACGGCGGUGUUUGGCACCUCGAUGUCGGCUCAUCACAUCCUGGGGCUGAAGUAGGUCCCAAGGGUAUGGCUGUUCGCCAUUUAAAGUGGUACGCGAGCUGGGUUUAGAACGUCGUGAGACAGUUCGGUCCCUAUCUGCCGUGGGCGCUGGAGAACUGAGGGGGGCUGCUCCUAGUACGAGAGGACCGGAGUGGACGCAUCACUGGUGUUCGGGUUGUCAUGCCAAUGGCACUGCCCGGUAGCUAAAUGCGGAAGAGAUAAGUGCUGAAAGCAUCUAAGCACGAAACUUGCCCCGAGAUGAGUUCUCCCUGAGACUUUAGGUCUCCUGAAGGAACGUUGAAGACGA